rnacentral:rRNA from 1 species
CAGGGAAUAUUGCACAAUGGGCGAAAGCCUGAUGCAGCAACGCCGCGUGCGGGAUGAAGGCCUUCGGGUUGUAAACCGCUUUCAGGAGGGAAGAAAAUGACGGUACCUCCAGAAGAAGCCCCGGCCAACUACGUGCCAGCAGCCGCGGUAAUACGUAGGGGGCAAGCGUUGUCCGGAUUUAUUGGGCGUAAAGGGCUCGUAGGCGGUUUGACAAGUCGGGCGUGAAAACCCGGGGCUCAACCCCGGGACGCCGGUCGAAACUGUUGUGGCUAGGUUCCGGUAGAGGUGAGUGGAAUUCUCGGUGUAGCGGUGAAAUGCGCAGAUAUCGAGAGGAACACCAGUAGCGAAGGCGGCUCACUGGGCCGGUAAAGACGCUGAGGAGCGAAAGCGUGGGGAGCAAACAGGAUUAGAUACCCUGGUAGUCCAUGCUGUAAACGUUGAACACUAGGUGUGGUGGACUCAUUGAUGUCUGCCGUGCCGACGCUAACGCAUUAAGUGUUCCGCCUGGGGAGUACGAUCGCAAGGUUA